GAUGAAGAACGCAGCGAAAUGCGAUAAGUAAUGUGAAUUGCAGAAUUCAGUGAAUCAUCGAAUCUUUGAACGCACAUUGCGCCCCCUGGUAUUCCGGGGGGCAUGCCUGUUCGAGCGUCAUUUCACCACUCAAGCCUCGCUUGGUAUUGGGCAUCGCGGUCCGCCGCGCGCCUCAAAUCGACCGGCUGGGUCUUCUGUCCCCUAAGCGUUGUGGAAACUAUUCGCUAAAGGGUGUUCGGGAGGCUACGCCGUAAAACAACCCCAUUUCUAAGGUUGACCUCGGAUCAGGUUGGGAUACCCGCUGAACUUAAGCAUAUCAAUAAGCGGAGGA
rnacentral:misc_RNA from 1 species